rnacentral:rRNA from 1 species
UGGGGAAUAUUGGACAAUGUGCGCAAGCCUGAUCCAGCCAUGCCGCGUGAGUGAUGAAGGCCCUAGGGCUGUAAAGCUCUUUCACCGGUGAAGAUAAUGACGGUAACCGGAGAAGAAGCCCCGGCUAACUUCGUGCCAGCAGCCGCGGUAAUACGAAGGGGGCUAGCGUUGUUCGGAUUUACUGGGCGUAAAGCGCACGUAGGCGGACUAUUAAGUCAGGGGUGAAAUCCCGGGGCUCAACCCCGGAACUGCCUUUGAUACUGGUAGUCUUGAGUUCGAGAGAGGUGAGUGGAAUUCCGAAUGUAGAGGUGAAAUUCGUAGAUAUUCGGAGGAACACCAGUGGCGAAGGCGGCUCACUGGCUCGAUACUGACGCUGAGGUGCGAAAGCGUGGGGAGCAAACAGG